CCUACGGGUGGCAGCAGUGAGGAAUAUUGGUCAAUGGACGAGAGUCUGAACCAGCCAAGUAGCGUGAAGGAUGACUGCUCUAUGGGUUGUAAACUUCUUUUAUAUGGGAAUAAAAUGUUCCACGUGUGGGCUUUUGUAUGUACCAUAUGAAUAAGGAUCGGCUAACUCCGUGCCAGCAGCCGCGGUAAUACGGAGGAUCCGAGCGUUAUCCGGAUUUAUUGGGUUUAAAGGGAGCGUAGGUGGAUUGUUAAGUCAGUUGUGAAAGUUUGCGGCUCAACCGUAAAAUUGCAGUUGAAACUGGCAGUCUUGAGGACAGUAGAGGUGGGCGGAAUUCGUGGUGUAGCGGGGAAAUGCUUAGAUAUCACGAAGAACUCCGAUUGCGAGGGCAGCUCACUGGACUGCAACUGACACUGAGGCUCGAAAGUGUGGGUAUCAAACGGGAUUAGAUACCCUGUAGUC
rnacentral:rRNA from 1 species